UGAUUUUAAAUGUAUUUGAUAAGUUACUAGAAUGUCAUAUUGGUUUCUAUAUACAAUUCGUCCAAUGAACGAAGUCACUGAUAUAUAUGGGGAACAGUUAAAUAAUAAUUUCAAAAUACCGAAUUGGUUAACGUUAAUUUUUCUCUGAUCGUCUACCGCAAUAGCAACGUGAUUGUUAUUUUGAAUAUGUUAGAAUGGUCUUAAUCGUGCAAUCAAACAAAAGGAUAUUCUACAAGCAAAUAAUUUCACCGAUGUCAAUUCAAUGGAACUCACAUAUACAUAGAGAUAAUUUUGCAGACAUCAUAUUUAUGUAAUUUUAAUAUCUCAACUUUAAAUGUUUUUUUUUUGAGAUUUUAUUUUAUUAAAUU